CGCGGAGUGGAGCAGUGGUUAGCUCGUCAGGCUCAUAACCUGGAGGUCGUUGGUUCGAAUCCUUCCUCCGCAACCA
rnacentral:tRNA from 1 species